rnacentral:snRNA from 1 species
GUGCUCGCUUUGGCAGCACAUAUACCAAAAUUAGAAUGAUACAGAGAUGAUUAGCAUGUCCCCUGCACAAGGAUGACAGGCAGAUUCAUGAAGUGUUUCAUGUUUUU